GACGAACGCUGGCGGCGUGCUUAACACAUGCAAGUCGAACGGAAAGGCCUCUUUCGGGGGGUACUCGAGUGGCGAACGGGUGAGUAACACGUGAGUAACCUGCCCUUGACUUUGGGAUAACUUCAGUAAACUGGGGCUAAUACCGGAUAGGAGCUCCUGCUGCAUGGUGGGGGUUGGAAAGUUUCGGCGGUUGGGGAUGGACUCGCGGCUUAUCAGCUUGUUGGUGGGGUAGUGGCUUACCAAGGCUUUGACGGGUAGCCGGCCUGAGAGGGUGACCGGCCACAUUGGGACUGAGAUACGGCCCAGACGCCUACGGGAGGCAGCAGUGGGGAAUAUUGCACAAUGGGUGGAAGCCUGAUGCAGCAACGCCGGGUGCGGGAUGACGGCCUUCGGGUUGGAAACCGCUUUCGCUCAUGACGAAGCUUUGUGUGACGGUAGUGGGUAAAGAAGCACCGGCUAACUACGUG
rnacentral:rRNA from 1 species